rnacentral:rRNA from 1 species
UACGUAGGGGGCUAGCGUUGUCCGGAUUUAUUGGGCGUAAAGAGCGUGUAGGCGGCCAGGUAGGUCUGGUGUGAAAACUCGAGGCUUAACCUCGAGAUGUCAUCGGAAACCAUCUGGCUAGAGUCCGGAAGAGGAGAGUGGAAUUCCUGGUGUAGCGGUGAAAUGCGCAGAUAUCAGGAAGAACACCAAUGGCGAAGGCAGCUCGCUGGGACGGUACUGACGCUGAGACGCGAAAGCGUGGGGAGCGAACAGG